UACGUAGGGUGCAAGCGUUAUUCGGAAUUACUGGGCGUAAAGAGUGCGCAGGCGGUUUUGUAAGUCUGUCGUGAAAUCCCCGGGCUCAACCUGGGAAUUGCGAUGGAGACUGCAAGGCUAGAAUCUGGCAGAGGGGGGUAGAAUUCCACGUGUAGCAGUGAAAUGCGUAGAGAUGUGGAGGAACACCGAUGGCGAAGGCAGCCCCCUGGGUCAAGAUUGACGCUCAUGCACGAAAGCGUGGGGAGCAAACAGG
rnacentral:rRNA from 1 species